rnacentral:rRNA from 1 species
GUGGGGAAUAUUGGACAAUGGGCGAAAGCCUGAUCCAGCCAUGCCGCGUGUGUGAAGAAGGUCUUCGGAUUGUAAAGCACUUUAAGUUGGGAGGAAGGGCAGUAAGUUAAUACCUUGCUGUUUUGACGUUACCGACAGAAUAAGCACCGGCUAACUUCGUGCCAGCAGCCGCGGUAAUACGAAGGGUGCAAGCGUUAAUCGGAAUUACUGGGCGUCAAGCGGGCGUAGGUGGUUUUGUAAGUUGGAGGUGAAAUCCCCGGGCUCAACCUGGGAACUGCCUCCAAAACUGCAUGACUAGAGUACGGUAGAGGGUAGUGGAAUUUCCUGUGUAGCGGUGAAAUGCGUAGAUAUAGGAAGGAACACCAGUGGCGAAGGCGACUACCUGGACUGAUACUGACACUGAGGUGCGAAAGCGUGGGGAGCAAACAGGAUUAGAUACCCGAGUAGUCC